UAUAUCUACAAUACUCUGUUCUUGAAAGUGUCUCUUCAUUUACUACGUAACAAACGUUCUGAGGCUUCAUGUGAAUGAUAUUGAGAAAGGAGGGCCGAGAGCUCCUCCGAGAAACAAGAUGGCGCUUUACGAACAGCUCAGCAUUCCGUCUCAGAGAUACAGUCGUUCGAUGCUUCCGUAUACAGCUAAUAGUAAUAGCCCUGCCAAUUUGGUGUCUCCUUCGAGCCAGGUUGUAUAAUUCAUUUCAAUUUUCUGACAAUUGAACAUACAAAAGCAGCAGGGAAAAUCAAGUUUUUUCGGAUGAUAACUAUUAGUCGCUUUAUCAAAAUUCUCCCCCAUAUAAGUAUCAUAGUAUUUUAUAUAGAAUUUGAAGCAACAGCUAGCAGAAGUCAUUCAGGCUUACGAGGUUCGGACUAAAGUUAUUAGGCAACAAAAAAGACGUGCAAAUGAAGAGGAAAUAUUCCAUCUUCUGAUUCUGCCUUAUUGUAAACAUAUGCUCAGCUAUUUUAAGAGUUGGUCUAUAGUUAUGUCUUAUUUUUAAACUUAAUUUUUUAAAUAUUUGGAUAAUGAGCUUAAAAGCUAUUGGUACGCAUCAUGAGAUCCCGUUAUGUUUUAUUUUUCUUAAACAAUAUUCUAAAUAAUUAUGAAUACAAUAAGGAGGUUGUAACAUUUUGAGUAAAAAAGGGUACUAAGUGAAGAGAGAACCUCAAAUGGAUGGUUGUAAUUGUCCAAACAAGGAUCAUUUUUUCUUAAUCCAGCAUUAUCUUUAGGUUGUUUGUAAUUAUCUCAAAUAAGAAUCUAAUUUUGUUUACAGGUUAUUUACAUGUAAUGGUUGAUUUGAAUUAAGCAUUUGUUUU